rnacentral:rRNA from 1 species
AACGAACGCUGGCGGCAGGCCUAACACAUGCAAGUCGAACGGUUCCUUCGGGGACAGUGGCAGACGGGUGAGUAACGCGUGGGAAUCUACCUUGUGGUACGGAACAACCAAGGGAAACUUUGGCUAAUACCGUAUGAGCCCUUCGGGGGAAAGAUUUAUCGCCAUAAGAUGAGCCCGCGUAGGAUUAGCUAGUUGGUGAGGUAAAGGCUCACCAAGGCGACGAUCCUUAGCUGGUCUGAGAGGAUGACCAGCCACACUGGGACUGAGACACGGCCCAGACUCCUACGGGAGGCAGCAGUGGGGAAUAUUGGACAAUGGGCGCAAGCCUGAUCCAGCCAUGCCGCGUGUGUGAUGACGGCCUUAGGGUUGUAAAGCACUUUCGCCGAUGAAGAUAAUGACUGUAGUCGGAGAAGAAGCCCCGGCUAACUUCGUGCCAGCCGCCGCAGUAAUAC